CUCUAACAACUACCAGGAGCACUAAGUCACCGUAUACCUCCCAAAUACACGGGCCACACAAAAUAUAUCUCUCUUCUACUCUACGAGCAAAAUGAUGAGAAAUCACAAGAAGUGAAAGAAGUAUUUCAUCCUAAAGAACAUGCCGACACAAAUUGAACACUGCUCCCGUUAGUAUAAUAAUAAAAAUUGAUGCGUGAGGUACAAUGAAAAAAUGGUAAUUUGUUGAAUUUAUAACUAAUGUUUAUUACUUAUUAGUUAUUUAUUAUUAUGA